rnacentral:lncRNA from 1 species
CACAAUCCCUUUUCUCCCUAGAGUUUUCCUCGGGCUUUCUUCUUCCUCCUCUUCUCGCUCCUUCGCCGCUCCCCCUUUCCCAUCCUCGGGUUAGCUUGAGCUGCGGGUGUAGGUGCCAGCAACGAGCGCGAUUGUGACCCUGCUUCUUGCAGUGGUCGCAUCACUCGCUCGUGCUCGCCCCUCCCCUUGUCUGGCUUCC